rnacentral:rRNA from 1 species
UACGUAGGGUGCGAGCGUUAAUCGGAAUUACUGGGCGUAAAGCGUGCGUAGGCGGUUCGUUAAGUUCGUUGUGAAAGCCCCGGGCUCAACCUGGGAAUGGCAAUGGAAACUGGCGGGCUGGAGUAUGGCAGAGGGGGUGGAAUUCCGCGUGUAGCAGUGAAAUGCGUAGAGAUGCGGAGGAACACCGAUGGCGAAGGCAGCCCCCUGGGCCAAUACUGACGCUCGAGGCACGAAAGCGUGGGGAGCAAACAGG